rnacentral:rRNA from 1 species
CCCUUAGAUGUUCUGGGCCGCACGCGCGCUACACUGACGAUGGCAACGAGUUUUUCCUUCGCCGAAAGGUGUGGGUAAUCUUUUGAAACAUCGUCGUGCUGGGGAUAGAUCAUUGCAAUUUUUGAUCUUGAACGAGGAAUUCCUAGUAAGCGCGAGUCAUCAGCUUGCAUUGAUUACGUCCCUGCCCUUUGUACACACCGCCCGUCGCACCUACCGAUUGAACGGUCCGGUGAAAUCUUGGGAUUUGCUUUGCUUUCGUUUGUUCGAUGCUCGGCGAAGAACUUGAGUAAACCUUACCGUUUAGAGGAAGGUGAAGUCGUAACA